rnacentral:lncRNA from 10 species
AAGCAACCGCUGCUACUGAAACAUCUGUUUUUUCCAGCGAGGUAAACAAUUGUCACUGGGCUUUGGGGUCAGUCAGUAACAGGAAACAGACCAGAAGAAAGAGAUCCCUUCCUCCUUUUUCCUCCAACUUGCUGGCACUAUCUAGCUCCCCCUCUUGGCAGAACCGAAAAGGGAGCAGCUGGUAAAACAGAAGUGUAUUUCCAGAGUGUCAGCCACAGUCUCACAAAGCUAAAACACAAUAAAGCAAGGUUGAAGCUGAGAGGCAAUAACUUAAUCAUCAGCCCAGUACUCAGUUGUUUUCCAAUAAUAGUUCUAGUUGAAUUGAUGCACCAUAUUUAUU